UCACGUUGGCCCAAUGUAUGAAUAUAUUUGUCGAUUUUCCGAUGUCUUCCCAACGUUGCGAUUCAUGACUUCAACGAUAAAGUAUACAGAUUGACUGUAUUCUCUACCAUGCCAUGUAACAACAGACUAAUUCCGAUACAUAUGUUGUUUUUAUCUCGCUUGAACGGUCCUCCUGUUGGAUUUUCGGUAUUUGGAUUGAUCACUAUCAACAAAGAAGUUCUACUGACGUUAGUUGGAAUGAUAUUUACGUACUUCACAAUAUUGGUGCAAUUCGAGUAAAAGCCAACCAACGAAGCGAUACUAUAACCUCAUCUAGUUUCAGAAUGGUGUAAUUUGCAGCGUAAUUUAGUUUUAUAAAGCGGCCUCCCUGGUCGGGAAAAUCCAAGAUGUAUGAACAAUGUAUACUUUUAAGAUUAGUUUAAGUAUUUAGGCAGGCUGCCCCAUAACGUACGGUACACAUGUAAAUGUUUUUCACCACUGUAGGCCUAUAAGUAUUCGAAUUUAUAGAUAGUGAAAAGUUAUGUUUAAAUUUAGGGUAGACCGAAUUACUUCAUUCUUGACUAUUUUCUGUACAUAAUAUAGCCUUGAUAUUUUAAUGUGUAAAAUAAGUAGUUCCGUAAUCUUAAGUAAAAAACUGUAUUUAUAAUUGAUGUACAUCAACAUAAAUGUAUAAAUAUAUUGUCCUUGUUGGAAAUCACUCGUUCUGUAGUUUCCGUGAUAGAAAUGUCUACAUUACUGAAUUACUCAAUUACUGAAUAAAUCAAUUGAGUUGAAAACACAUACA
rnacentral:misc_RNA from 1 species